rnacentral:rRNA from 1 species
UAGGAAUAUUGGACAAUGGGGGAAACCCUGAUCCAGCCAUGUCGCGUGAGUGAAGAAGGCCUUCGGGUUGUAAAGCUCUUUCAGAUGCGAGGAUGAUGACAGUAACAUCAGAAGAAGCCCCGGCUAACUUCGUGCCAGCAGCCGCGGUAAUACGAAGGGGGCUAGCGUUGUUCGGAUUUACUGGGCGUAAAGCGCAUGUAGGCGGUUUAUUAGGUCGGUGGUGAAAGCCCAGGGCUCAACCUUGGAAUUGCCAUCGAUACCGGUAGACUAGAGUAUAAGAGAGGAUAGCGGAAUUCCGAGUGUAGAGGUGAAAUUCAUAGAUAUUCGGAGGAACACCAGUGGCGAAAGCGGCUAUCUGGCUUAUUACUGACGCUGAGAUGCGAAAGCGUGGGGAGCAAAC